GGAGCAAUGGUAAAGUUGUCUCCUUGUGAUACUAUAUGUCACGGGUUCGAGGCAUGGAAGCAGUCAGUAAUGCUUGUAUUAGGUAGAUUGUCUACAUCACAUCCUUGGGAUUUAGUCCUUUCCCGGACCCUGCGUGAAUGCAAGAUGCGUUUUGCACCGGGCUUCCCUUUAACAAUGUCCAGUAAUGCUUGUAUUAGGUAGAUUGCCUGCAUCACAUCCUUGGGACUUAGUCCUUUCCCGGACCCUGCGUGAAUGCAAGAUGCGGUUUGCACCGGGCUUCCCUUUAACAAUGUUGUAUAGCCCGUCUGUGCGCACGUCAACUAAUCAAUUGCGUUUAAAAUGUAUCAUAUUACCACUUUGAUACAGGG
rnacentral:lncRNA from 1 species